rnacentral:rRNA from 1 species
UACAGAGGGGGCAAGCGUUGUUCGGAAUUACUGGGCGUAAAGGGCGCGUAGGUGGCCUUCUAAGUUGAACGUGAAAUCCCUGGGCUCAACCCAGGAACUGCGUCCAAGACUGGGAGGCUUGAAUCCGGGAGAGGGAUGCGGAAUUCCAGGUGUAGCGGUGAAAUGCGUAGAUAUCUGGAGGAACACCGAUGGCGAAGGCAGCCCCCUGGGUUAACACUGACGCUCAUGCACGAAAGCGUGGGGAGCGAACAGG